GUGUAUGCUGCUGUCAGAGCAAUAAGAGAACUCAAACCCUGGUGUUCUUUUUACCCAGACUGAAGCUACCAAGGAACUCCUUGCUGAAAAAGCUGGCAUUCCUAUUGCUAUUGUGAAGAAUUCACACAUCAGAAGAGCAACCGUUGAUAAGAAUGCUCGAAUUGGAGAUAUUGUGAAGAAGCUGCUAGGGAGAGAAAUGGGUACCUUAUCAAAGGUGGAAUAGUCACUGAUCAAGGAUGCUUUGCUCCCUAGCAGAACAGUUAUAUGAAGUGGAUGUGCAACAUGGGCCUGAGGGUCAUCGACAGUCAUCAUCACCCAGUUACAUGCUGAUCAUCUGAUCUGUGUGACAUCAUUCAAGACACUAUUUCUUUGUUGUUUUCUCUCGUUUUGUUCUAUUGCCCCCCUUAAUGUUAUAGGAUAUAAUGUUGCAGCGGCAAAUGUUCUGCAUAUGUUGUGGGAAUCAAAAUUGUAUGCCUGGAUUUGGGAUACCUCUUCGAUAUUGUGUAAUUAUCAGUUUAGUUAUCAUGCUUUUGCUUCUGUUGAUCUGAGCCGCUGUCUGAUCAUGUUCUGAUUAACCACUUCCCUUGUCACCGUGUCAAUUUCCCAGAUGGCACUCCGUAGUCUCACUACAGAAUGAAGAAGCCGUCUGAACUGUUAACCAAAAAGAAGAAGAAGCCGUCUGAACUCAGUCAGUGCAUCUCCGGUGGGAGGUGCAGUGGAAGAAAAUUACAUAUGUAAGAGCAUGUCUGGAAUGUAAUAAUUCCAUUCAAAUUUAGCAGGAACGGUUUACUUGUGGAAAAGGAAACAUUUAAGUUCAUUCAUACUGGAAAUGAGAUAAACCCCCGUGUUUCAUAGAGGAAAAGCGGUUGUUUUUUCAA